rnacentral:rRNA from 1 species
AUGACGUCCUCUCGCAUCCUCCACCUCAUCGCCCUCGUCCUUGCCGUCGUCGCCGCGGCCGAGGCGACCACCAUAACCGUGGUGAACCGGUGCUCCUACACGAUAUGGCCGGGCGCGCUCCCAGGCGGCGGCGCGCGUCUCGACCCGGGCCAGUCGUGGCAGCUCAACAUGCCCGCCGGCACCGCGGGCGCCAGGGUGUGGCCGCGCACGGGUUGCACCUUCGACGGCAGCGGCCGCGGGCGGUGCAUCACCGGCGACUGCGCGGGCGCGCUGUCCUGCCGCGUGUCGGGCGAGCAGCCCGCCACGCUGGCCGAGUACACGCUGGGGCGGGGCGGGAGCCAGGACUUCUUCGACUUGUCCGUCAUCGACGGCUUCAAUACGCCCAUGAGCUUCCAGCCCGUCGGCGGCGCGCCCUGCCGUGCGGCGACCUGCGCCGUGGACAUCACCAGGGAGUGCCUGCCGGAGCUGCAGGUGCCCGGAGGGUGCGCGAGCGCGUGCGGCAAGUUCGGCGGCGACACCUACUGCUGCCGGGGACAGUUCGAGCACAACUGCCCGCCGACGAACUACUCCAAGUUCUUCAAGGGCAAGUGCCCCGACGCCUACAGCUACGCCAAGGACGACCAGACCAGCACCUUCACCUGCCCCGCCGGAACCAACUACCAGAUCGUUCUCUGCCCCGCACGAAAUGAUUUACACAUGGAUCAGUAA